rnacentral:lncRNA from 1 species
CAACAGCAGGGAAUAGUCAAAUCAAAUGUCUUUUCUUAAUCAAAUUAAAGACAAAAUAUUUUAAAGUAAAAAGCUUUUAGUACAUAUUAGAGCUUUUGAAUCAUUCUUAUAAUUCACUCUCCAUUAAAAGCAUAACUCAGAAGCUUUUGAAAUAAAAAAUUUUACUCAAACCACCAUCACCCAGUGACGCCACACAAGACCUA